GACGAACUUUGGCGGCGUGCUUAACACAUGCAAGUCGAACGGAAAGGCCCUGCUUUUGUGGGGUGCUCGAGUGGCGAACGGGUGAGUAACACGUGAGUAACCUGCCCUUGACUUUGGGAUAACUCCAGGAAACUGGGGCUAAUACCGGAUAGGAGCUCCUGCUGCAUGGUGGGGGUUGGAAAGUUUCGGCGGUUGGGGAUGGACUCGCGGCUUAUCAGCUUGUUGGUGGGGUAGUGGCUUACCAAGGCUUUGACGGGUAGCCGGCCUGAGAGGGUGACCGGCCACAUUGGGACUGAGAUACGGCCCAGACUCCUACGGGAGGCAGCAGUGGGGAAUAUUGCACAAUGGGCGGAAGCCUGAUGCAGCAACGCCGCGUGCGGGAUGACGGCCUUCGGGUUGUAAACCGCUUUCGCCUGUGACGAAGCGUGAGUGACGGUAAUGGGUAAAGAAGCACCGGCUAACUACGUGCCAGCAGCCGCGGUGAUACGUAGGGUGCGAGCGUUGUCCGGAUUUAUUGGGCGUAAAGGGCUCGUAGGUGGUUGAUCGCGUCGGAAGUGUAAUCUUGGGGCUUAACCCUGAGCGUGCUUUCGAUACGGGUUGACUUGAGGAAGGUAGGGGAGAAUGGAAUUCCUAGUGGAGCGGUGGAAUGCGCAGAUAUCAGGAGGAACACCAGUGGCGAAGGCGGUUCUCUGGGCCUUUCCUGACGCUGAGGAGCGAAAGCGUGGGGAGCGAACAGGCUUAGAUACCCUGGUAGUCCACGCUGUAAACGGUGGGUACUAGGUGUGGGGUCCAUUCCACGGGUUCCGUGCCGUAGCUAACGCUUUAAGUACCCCGCCUGGGGAGUACGGCCGCAAGGCUAAAACUCAAAGGAAUUGACGGGGCCCCGCACAAGCGGCGGAGCAUGCGGAUUAAUUCGAUGCAACGCGUAGAACCUUACCUGGGUUUGACAUGGAUCGGGAGUGCUCAGAGAUGGGUGUGCCUCUUUUGGGGUCGGUUCACAGGUGGUGCAUGGCUGUCGUCAGCUCGUGUCGUGAGAUGUUGGGUUAAGUCCCGCAACGAGCGCAACCCUUGUUCACUGUUGCCAGCACGUUAUGGUGGGGACUCAGUGGAGACCGCCGGGGUCAACUCGGAGGAAGGUGGGGAUGACGUCAAGUCAUCAUGCCCCUUAUGUCCAGGGCUUCACGCAUGCUACAAUGGCUGGUACAGAGAGUGGCGAGCCUGUGAGGGUGAGCGAAUCUCGGAAAGCCGGUCUCAGUUCGGAUUGGGGUCUGCAACUCGACCUCAUGAAGUCGGAGUCGCUAGUAAUCGCAGAUCAGCAACGCUGCGGUGAAUACGUUCCCGGGGCU
rnacentral:rRNA from 1 species